CCCUUUAUUUAUAUUAAGUUAUUUUAUAACACUAUAGAAGCCCUUAUGUUGAAACUAGUAAUAAGAAGACAGCACUUCUCUUAAAUGUAGGUGUAGAUCAGAAAGGACUUACCACUGAUAAUUAAACGUUUAUGAUUUUGCAACAGCAANCCCCACUAGAAAACCCUGUUAUUCNNNNUUAACGUUAAUCUGACACUAGCACAUUUCAAGAAAGAUUUAAAGAAAAAGAAGGAACUCGGCAAAUAUUAACCUCGCCUGUUUACCAAAAACAUCGCCUCUUGNCACCAAUAUAAGAGGUCCAGCCUGCCCAGUGACCCAGUUCAACGGCCGCGGUAUCCUAACCGUGCGAAGGUAGCGUAAUCACUUGUUCUUUAAAUGAGGACUAGUAUGAAUGGCACCACGAAGGUUACACUGUCUCCUUUUUCUAAUCAAUGAAACUAAUCUCCCCGUGAAGAAGCGGGGAUUUAAAUAUAAGACGAGAAGACCCUAUGGAGCUUCAAACUANAAUAGUAUUGGCUUUUAUCNNNNCAUUUACACCCCCNNNNNGGGGCCUCAUACUAACUCUAGCCUNUUUAACUAUUAGUUUUGGGUUGGGGUGACCGCGGAGCAAAAAUUAUCCUCCAUGAUGAAUAGAGCUANCUCUUGAGCCAAAAGCCACAACUUUAAGCACCAAUAAACUGACAUAAAUUGACCCAAUAUUUUGAGCAACGAACCAAGUUACCCUAGGGAUAACAGCGCAAUCCAUCUCAAGAGCCCCUAUCGACAGGUGGGUUUACGACCUCNGAUGUUGGAUCAGGAUAUCCCAGUGGUGCAGCCGCUACUGAAGGUUCGUUUGUUCAACGAUUAAAACCCUACGUGAUCUGAGUUCAGACCGGAGCAAUCCAGGUCAGUUUCUAUCUAUAANAGGGCUUUUUCCAGUACGAAAGGACCGNAAAAAGCAUGGCCUAUACUNAAAGCAAGCCAUCCCACAUNAUUUAUGAAUCAACCUUAAUAAAAANUUAACCUAUCAUNNCUCCCCUGAGACAAAGGAA
rnacentral:rRNA from 1 species